AAGAGAAAAAAUGUAUACAAUUUUACAUGUCUCUGACUGAUUCCAAAAUGGCAUUUUCUACAGUGAAGUUUAUCUUUCAAUAAUUUUUAUUCAACAAGAGCAGAGGACAAAAAACAACAACACAUACAUCUUGUGUCGAAUAUACAGAAGGUAUUAAGGACAGCCAUAUAAAAAAUGCAAAUCUAGGGUCCCAUGACAUAUAGACAGGAAGUUACACCUUGCGCAUAACAAUACAAGAUACAAUGCGCUAAAAUAGUAUAGCUCUCUAGCGCCAGGGGUCUCAAACAUAUAGGUACACCUAACCAAGACUUCAAAGGGUUAGUACCCAAAAACAGAAAACCAGCAUAUUUCACAACAAAAAAAUCCUUGGGCCCCCACCAGUGAGCAGUACCUUAUCAUGAAAGUAUGGUAUACACAAGAAAACCAGUAAAAGAAGCAAAGAAGAGAAAGGAAAGAAAGCAAACAGAACAGAAAAGAGAAGAAGACCUAUGUUCUCAAUUGCGACGUGCAAUCAUUGCCUGAGAAGAUGUAAUGGAGACAUUCAAAUAAACAGCCCUCGGUUCCCAGAUUUGUUCAAAUUGAUGCUGCUUAUCAUUGAUACUAGCAAUUUUCUCAUGGAGCAUAAUCCAGGAGAGUUUAUGCGUCAUCCUCUGCAAUGACACUGAAGGUAAUUUCCAGGCUUCCGCUAUCGUGAUUUUAGCAGAUAAAAGGAUAAAGAACACUCGCCUCAGAAAAGAGCGGGGAAUUCUUGGUGGAAAUUCAUUCAGCAAUGCUAUUUGAGGCAGUUGCAAUAAGAGGAGACCACUCCCAUGACAAAGCAUGGAAAAGACCUUGUUCCAGAAUCUUCGGAAGCAGUCUGAAGAGGUAUUUGUGUACAUCUUAGCAAGGUAAGAGGGAGCCAAAUACCUUCUAGUCACAACCUUUAGAUUGACUUCUAUCAAGGAGAUGUUCAAAAUCACCCUGAAGCAGGCUUGAAAUCGAGAAGAUCCAGACCAAGAUCCCUCUCCCAUGCUAGCAUAUACGGUAACUUAUGGGAAGAGGCAAGCAACAGUCUAUAUAUAUCGCAGAGAUGCCUCCCUGCAAACCCAAACCCUAAGUACAUCACUGUUCAUAUCGUCAAGGUGGGGGGAUCAGGUGUUCGGAGCUGAAGAGAAUGCAAAAAGUGUGAAAUUUGAUAAAAAACAUUUAACUGUUCAGUCUAUAGUGACAUUUUAUGGUAAAAUAUAUACUAUAAAGUCAACGGGAUGUACAGUAUAUUGUCUAGCUGAAGAAAGCGUGAAGAUGCUUUUCUGUAACAUAUAAGGACAGUUGUAGAUCAUAGAGUAACUAACUGUAAGACCACAUAUUAAAAAAUUAUAGACAUGUAACUAACACUCCAAGAUGACCACACGAUCAUCUUGCACUGUGUUAAGAAUACAAUUAUCCUGAGUCUAGGUCCACUGUAAAACAGAUCCUGGAUAUAAAUGUAAGGUCCUGUUACUACUUAGCCCCCAACCCCACAUUAAAAAUCGAAGGUUUAAGGUGUUUGCUACUUUUUUAAAUACUUGGGGUGCAUUUUUACUUUUAUUUUAUUUUUUUUUUUUUAUACAUUCAUAGUCUGGGGAACGGGCACAGUAAUAAGUAGACUUUUAGAAGCUCGUACCAGCAGGGAAGAAAUUUUCAGAACAGGAUUAGCAAUAUUUUAAUUUUCCUAGUAUGCUUGAAUACAUAAAUAGAAAUUGAAUACAUUUUUAGGAUCUUGUAGCAGGAUUUGGUUUUGCGUGAUUUUUGUAAGGAUAAAUAUAUCUGCUUAAUGUCAAUCUUCAGAUGCAAUUGUCUUAGCACUGUGGACAUUACCUUAAAGAAAUGUUAGUUAAAAAAACUAUAAUGUAUUUACAUUCUGUAAUAA